rnacentral:tRNA from 1 species
AGGGAUGUUGCCCAGUGUUAAAGCAUAUGCCUUGUAUACAAAAGAUCCUUGGUUCAAUCCCCAGCAUCUCCA